rnacentral:rRNA from 1 species
CGCGAGCGGCGAACGGGUGAGUAACACGUGAGAAACCUGCCUCUAGCUCUGGGAUAGCUUCGGGAAACCGGAAUUAAUACCGGAUAUGACUGCGGUCGGCAUCGACUGCGGUGGAAAGAUUUAUUGGCUAGAGAUGGUCUCGCGGCCUAUCAGCUUGUUGGUGGGGUAACGGCCUACCAAGGCGACGACGGGUAGCCGGCCUGAGAGGGCGACCGGCCACACUGGGACUGAGACACGGCCCAGACUCCUACGGGAGGCAGCAGUGGGGAAUAUUGCGCAAUGGGCGAAAGCCUGACGCAGCAACGCCGCGUGGGGGAUGACGGCCUUCGGGUUGUAAACCCCUUUCAGCAGGGACGAAGCGAAAGUGACGGUACCUGCAGAAGAAGCGCCGGCUAACUACGUG